rnacentral:lncRNA from 1 species
UGGUGAGGGGGAAAAAGCAAUGGAGUGUGCUCCUGAGGGACUGAAACUAUACUCUGAUCUCUUUUCAGACAGAGAAUUGAACGAGGAAGACAGCGCCCUGAAAGAUGAGCAGACAGUUAACAAUGGUGUAAAUAAGGAAGAACUGUCUGCCAUGCAGAGCAGCACCCUGAGAUCCAAGUGUGCAGUUGAUGAUGGUGUAACUGAGGAAGAACUGAUGCAGGUUGCAGAAGGUGGAAAUGAGGAGCACCUGAACAACUCUCCCAGCUAAGAAGGUAUGUGAGAGUGAAUCUUCCUGUGUCUUGGAAGAGUGUUCUGACUGGCACAGAGGUUGGGAGUGGCAAUGCUGGGUCAGGCUAUGUAUGACUCUCUGACCCCUUUAUACUCAGGUAGAAAACAAGAGUG